rnacentral:lncRNA from 13 species
GCAAUACAAAACGUUUAAUUUAGUUUUGGUAUAAAGGGCCUAAAAAUGUUAGACUUGUACAUAAUACUUUUACAGUACUUAGUGAAAAAUUAGUUGCUAUGUCUAAAUUUAUUUGUAAAGAAUUUGUGAGAAAACCACGCCAUAUGACUGAAAUGGAACGAUGGAAAGGAACAGAACUACGUCAAUUUUUACUUUAUACAGGACCAAUUGUUUUACUGAAUGUAUUACCUAAACAUAUGUACAUGCAUUUUCUGGCUCUUAGUGUAGCUAUCAGAAUAUUGAGUGGUGAAAAAUGGUGUCAAACAUUAAAUCAGUAUGCUCAUGAACUUUUAACAUGGUUUGUUACUGAGUAUAAAAAGAUAUAUGGAGAUCAUAACGUAAUAUACAACGUUCAUAAUUUGAUACAUUUGGCUAGUGAUGUAAAAAAUUUUGGUUCUCUUGAAAGUUUCAGUUGCUUUAAAUACGAAAGUUAUUUAGGUAAAAUAAAAUAAAAAAUACGGGCAAGUGGAAAACCUUUACAUCAAAUAAUUAAUCGACUUUAUGAGGAAACUUCUAUUAAUGAAAAUAAAAUUUUUAUAAAAAAAACAUAUCCAGUUGCAUUGUAUCAGAAUCUAAAUGAUAAAACUGUUAUAAAAUCUAUACAGUAUCGUACUUUUAUGAUAUUGAAACAUCAACCUGAUAAUUGUUGUCUUUUAAAGAAUGGAUGUAAUGUUAUUGUACAUGAUAUGUAUACAACUAGUACUGAAAUUGACGUAGAUAAUAGUACAAUAGAGAUGUACAAUAGAAAAGUGUCACAAUUUCUUUUUCCAAAAGCCUUUUUUCAUUUGCCAUGUAAUUCCAACAUAUUAGGAAUAUCAAUUAUAACCGCAAACAAAGUUUCUGAUUUUUUUAUUAUCAAACCAGAAGAAAUUAUUACAAAAUGUUUACUACUGCCAAUCGAAAGCAAUAUUGGAACACAUGUUUUAUUGCCUAUGAUACAUACUUAUCAUAACUAAACAAGUAAUAUUUAUAGAAAAAUUUUUAAUAAAAUGAACUAUUUAUAUUUUUUUCAACUGCAGCUAUCGUGUACAUUUUAUUAUAAAUGGUUAAUAACGAAAAAUCAUACGCCGUCGUGCGUUUCUUAGAAAGCGAUACUUUUUCUGAAGUCCCAAGUAAUUGGCUAUGUAAAGAAAAAGACAAAAAUUUAUGUUGGUGGCCAAUAAAAGUUAAAAAUAUUACGUCUUAUAUAUCAAAUCGCAUAUCACCGGAUGAGGCGAUAUGGGAAUUGUCCGAGGUUGAAAUAGAAACCUAUUGCGAUACUUGGGAAAAGGCAAGAAAAAUAGCAGAUGACCCCAUGUAUAAAACUACGGAUGACGAAAGUCUUGGUAAAGGCCAACGAACAAAAUUCGAUAAUGCUAAGUAUAGUUCCCCGCCAAAAAUAAAAAAAAAGAAGAAACUAAAGACAACACUAAGAGCAAUAAAACUAAAAAAAAGGACGAAUAUGCUAAACCAACUAUAAAAAGCUGCUUUACUCUUCCACCUACAUUAACUUUAAAUGAUAUUACGGACGAUAAUAUUAUUAUUGAUGCAAAUUUAGAUGUUAUACAAGCAGCCGGAGUGUCAAAUUCAAUAUCUAUCACAUAUGUUGAUAAACCGGAUCUUAAUAAGGAACAGUUGCAAAUAGCACAAGAUAUUGCUAUUAUAAAAGACCAAUAUUGUUCCAUACAUCGUAUGCAUGCUUCGAUUCUUCUAACAUUAAAAAGUAUUGACGAAAGAUUACAUAAAAUGGAGCAUAAAAAUGUAACACAACCUGAAAAAAUGCAAUAUCCACUGUUACUACCAUUACUACCAUUAAAAGACCUUCAAAGUAUUGCUAACUUAGAAGAACUUCUCACAACCAACGAUUCAGCUCUUUCUCAAUAUACAAAUUUUGUUACCAAUAUUGGAGAGCAUACAGCAAAAGAGAAUAUUCAUAGAAUUUUAAGAAAAGUUUUUUACUGAUGAGUGUGCUAAACUUUGUUCAUGGAAA